CGAGACUGGACACACACUAACGCAUACGAUUGUAGCUAAGGAGGAGAACCGGAGUGACUCUACUCACUCAACUCACUCAAGAAGAGAGACUCGUUGGAGUUGUCGGCGGAGUGGUACGAUACGGACUACUGUGCAUUGGAGAUGACCCCAGACUCGUUCAGGGCCCACAGUGAAUUAUCGGGGACUGAGAAGGGGUACUUGAGGAACAGAUGGUGGGGGAAGGCCAUUCGCGCUUGUGGAGGAAUUCAAUGUUUUCUGAUGGGCGCCACGUGAUAUUUUCGGAGAUGACGGCUAUUGAAAUGAGCAAAAUAAUCAUUUAAUUCUUAAGAAAUUUAGUCUAUUUAUCUCUUUGUAUAAGUGGUGUGGGCGUGCAGUCUGCAUGCAGUUGUCUAUUCUACAGAUGACGUCACAGGACAUCUUGGAAAGAAACACAAGGUACAUACUUGAGGUCUCCUUUGCCAAAGGUUACUCUAUGCCCGAAAAUCGUG